GCGGACGUGGCUCAGUUGGUAGAGCAUCACCUUGCCAAGGUGAGGGUCGCGGGUUCAAGUCCCGUCGUCCGCU
rnacentral:tRNA from 1 species